ACCUGGCUGGCUCAGUCCUUAGAGCAUGCGACUCUUAAUCUCAGGGUUGUGUGUUCAAGCCCCAUGUUGGGUA
rnacentral:tRNA from 1 species